rnacentral:rRNA from 1 species
UAUGGGGGGGGCAAGCGUUGUUCGGAAUUACUGGGCGUAAAGGGCGUGUAGGUGGCCAACUAAGUCAGACGUGAAAUCCCUCGGCUUAACCGGGGAACUGCGUCUGAUACUGGAUGGCUUGAGUUUGGGAGAGGGAUGCGGAAUUCCAGGUGUAGCGGUGAAAUGCGUAGAUAUCUGGAGGAACACCGGUGGCGAAGGCGGCAUCCUGGACCAAUACUGACACUAAAGCGCGAAAGCCAGGGGAGCAAACGGG